AUGGUGAAGGCAUCGUGGAGCAACUCCCCUCUGUCUGCCAAGCAUCACCGUGGUGAGGCGUCUGGCAAGGAGCCGCUGGUGGUCGACGACGAUGUUCCGGUCCCCGGGCAGAAGCGGGACUACACCGUGCCGCUCAAGGUUGAUAUCCACCUGAAGGAGCCGCUGGAUGUCGUAUGCACCAGCAAUCUAGACGAAACCGACAAGAUGAUCCGCAAGAUGAGGAGGAGGCUCGGCGGCAUGCUUUCUCGGAAUAUCGGCGUUAAUGUCGAGUAUACCAGGGAAGACAAACCUCCGCAAAUUUCUGCAGUUCUGCAGUUAUGCGUGGAGGAUCUCGUCCUGGUAUACCACAUCACCGCGGCAACCAAAUGGCCCAAGGAACUCCGCCCGCUCCUGCAGGAGAAGAAGCUGUACACCUUUGUUGGCUUCUGCAUUAGAGGCGACAAGGAGAAGCUGAAGUUGUCUAGUUUGGAGAUCAACCCCGACAAGUACGUCGACUUGCAGCGCAAAUGGAGAGUUCCAAACAAUGGAAAGAAGUGGCAGUCUUUGGCUGAGUUUGCAGCCAGCCUCAUCCACCCAUCCUACUCAAAAAAUGAAGCAGAAGAUCGACAGGAAUUCGGACCACCUACUAUGGGGGGACAACCCAUUGCCAAACAAGCUCAUCGAGUACGCCACGAAAGAUGCGUACGUCACCUACGAGGCAUGGAAGAAAAUCGAAAUCACCAAAGAAGGUUUGGAGCUCUGGCAAGAGGCGGAGGAUCAUUGGGAUGA
rnacentral:rRNA from 1 species